rnacentral:rRNA from 1 species
UCAAUAAGCGGAGGAAAAGAAACCAACAGGGAUUGCCUUAGUAGCGGCGAGUGAAGCGGCAAAAGCUCAAAUUUGAAAUCUGGCGCCUUCGGUGUCCGAGUUGUAAUUUGAAGAUUGUAACCUUGGGGUUGGCUCUUGUCUAUGUUUCUUGGAACAGGACGUCACAGAGGGUGAGAAUCCCGUGCGAUGAGAUGCCCAAUUCUAUGUAAGGUGCUUUCGAAGAGUCGAGUUGUUUGGGAAUGCAGCUCUAAGUGGGUGGUAAAUUCCAUCUAAAGCUAAAUAUUGGCGAGAGACCGAUAGCGAACAAGUACAGUGAUGGAAAGAUGAAAAGAACUUUGAACAGAGAGUGAAAAAGUACGUGAAAUUGUUGAAAGGGAAGGGUUUGAGAUCAGACUCGAUAUUUUGUGAGCCUUGCCUUCGUGGCGGGGUGACCCGCAGCUUAUCGGGCCAGCAUCGGUUUGGGCGGUAGGAUAAUGGCGUAGGAAUGUGACUUUACUUCGGUGAAGUGUUAUAGCCUGCGUUGAUGCUGCCUGCCUAGACCGAGGACUGCGAUUUUAUCGGGAUGCUGGCAU